rnacentral:SRP_RNA from 2 species
CCGUGCUAGGCGAGGAGCUAGCGGUGCCUUGUACUCGUAAUCCGCUUUAGCGAGGCUUAAUUCCUCUUUUGAGGCUAAAAUUUAUGGAUAAUUAUAUUGUUUUAACCGUUGAAAAACCCCCUCAACGCGACGAAUGUCUGCGAAUUCCGUCAGGAUCGGAAGAUAGCAGCGGUAAGUAGAAUGUUUUGGGUGCUGUUGAGCAACAGGUUUUGAGGAAAAAGCAGUGUUAAUCCCAUAGAGGAUGUCGAUUUUGAGGUGCACGG